UGCCACGCUAGCCACUGCUAAGCCUUCCC
rnacentral:piRNA from 1 species